rnacentral:misc_RNA from 1 species
GAAUAUAAACCUGGUGGACUGUUGCUGGCUUUUAUUGAGCAUGUGCACGUCCAUCAUAUUUAUUUUUCCACCUGUGCACUUUUUGUAGGCUUGGAAUAUAUAGUUUUUUAAAAGCAUCAUGCUUUUCACUUUGGGACUGCUGUGUUUAAACGUGAAGUUUAUCGGCUUUCCCUUUUAUUUUCCAAGUCUAUGUUUUUCAUUUACACUUCAUAAAUGUAACAGAAUGAUGUACUUUGGGUCAUUGGUACCUAUAAUAAAUCAGUACAACUUUCAGCAACGGAUCUCUUGGCUCU